ACAAAGUAUAACCUUCAAAACCCUGCUGCUGAGAAUCGCGGAGACUUCGAAUCUGCAAACCAUUGAUCACAGAAUGCGGAGAAGAGCUGUCGCCUUCUUUCCACAGAGACGUUUCUUCUCCUCUACCUCUGAGAAUCCUACUUUAUACUCCUUCUUGCAACCCUCCGUCUUUGCGCUGAAAAAAUCUCCAGCGGCAAGCACAGUCCCUACCGGUACCUCUCCUGACCCACCAAUACCAACGCCACGCACUUUAUCCCUAGACUGCAUAAACACCCUGGAAUCCACCAUCCAUAAGUCUGUCCUCACCGGCGACACUGAUGUGGCUUGGAAAUCCUUCAAGUCUCUCACCGCUAAUUCUGCUUUCCCUUCCAAACCUCUCACUAACUCCCUAAUCACUCAUCUCUCCUCUCCUGGUGACACCCUCAAUCUCAAAAGGGCGUUUGCUGCUGUUGUCUAUGUCAUGGAGAAGAACCCGGAGCUGUUAGAUUUUGAAACGGUCCAAAUGGUUCUUAGUUCGAUGAAAUGUGCCAACACUGCUGCUCCUGCUUUUGCUUUAGUCAAGUGUAUGUUUAAGAACAGGUAUUUCGUGCCUUUCGGAUUGUGGGGUGGUUUGCUUGUUGAAAUUAGUAGGAAGAGUGGUCAAUUCGUUGCGUUUUUAAGGGUUUUUGAAGAGAGUUGUAGGAUUGCCAUUGAUGAGAAGUUGGAUUUUAUGAAACCUGACUUGGUUGCUUGUAAUGUGGCUUUAGAGUGUUGUUGUCGCAAACUUGAGUCUGUUACUGAUGCUGAAAAUGUGAUUGAGACAAUGUCUGUUUUGGUUAUUAGGCCUGAUGAAUGGAGUUUUGGGUUUCUUGGUUACUUGUAUGCAUUGAAAGGACUUAAAGAUAAGAUAAACGAGUUAAAGGGUUUAAUGGAUGGGUUUUGUUUUUCCAACAAAAGGUUGUUUUAUAGUAAUUUGAUUAUUGGCUAUGUAAAGUCUGGGAAUUUGGAUUCCGUUUCAACAACUGUUCUAUAUAUCUUGAGGGAAGAAGAUGUGGAGAAUUUAGAUUUCAGUGAGGAAACUUAUUGUGAAGUGAUAAAGGGGUUUCUUAAAGAUGGAAGUCUCAAGGAUUUAGCGCAUUUGAUCAUUGAAGCUCAAAAAAUGGAGCCAGCAACUAUUGUGAUUGAUAAAUCAUUUGGAUUUGGUAUAAUUAAUGCUUGUGUUAAUCUUGGAUUAUCUGAUAAGGCACAUAGCAUUCUUGAUGAAAUGAAUGCUCAAGGUGGUUCAGUUGGUCUUGGGGUCUAUGUGCCAGUCUUGAAGGCAUAUUGCAAAGAGAACAGGACAGCUGAAGCUACUCAACUGGUUAUGGAGAUUAGCAACUCGGGGCUUCAGUUAGAUGAAGGAAGCUAUGAUGCUCUGAUUGAAGCAUCCAUGACCAGCCAGGAUUUUCAGUCAGCUUUUACUUUGUUUAGGGACAUGAGAGAGGCAAGAAUACCUGACUUGAAGGGGAGCUAUUUAACCAUAAUGACAGGAUUGAUGGAGAGCCAUCGACCUGAGUUAAUGGCUGCAUUUUUGGAUGAAGUUGUUGAGGACCCUCGAGUUGAGGUGAAAACUCAUGACUGGAACUCGAUUAUUCAUGCCUUCUGUAAAGCUGGGAGGCUAGAAGAUGCAAAGCGAACUUUUAGAAGAAUGAUAUUUUUGCAGUUUGAACCAAAUGACCAAACAUAUUUGUCCUUAAUUAAUGGGUAUGUGACCGCUGAGAAAUAUUUCAGUGUUUUGAUGCUUUGGAAUGAGGUUAAGCGAAAGGUUUCAAAUGAUAAGGAGAAAGGAAUUAAAUUUGAUCAAAAUUUGGUUGAUGCGUUCUUGUAUGCUUUGGUUAAAGGGGGUUUCUUCGAUGCAGUGAUGCAAGUCGUGGAAAAAUCUCAAGAAAUGAAGAUUUUUGUGGAUAAGUGGAAGUACAAGCAAGCAUUCAUGGAGACACAUAAGAAGCUCAAGAUGUCAAAGUUGAGAAAAAGGAGUUUCCGGAAAAUGGAAGCGCUCAUCGCCUUCAAGAAUUGGGUUGGUCUAAAUGCAUGAACAUCAAGUGUGCCUGUGGCUGUGCUUCGGUAUUGCUUAAGCCUUUCGCUUACCACUCAGGCUGUGCUGCUUAUAAUCAUAUUGCAAUUGCUUGCUUUCUAUUGAGUUUGUUUAAAUGUUUGAAUAUAAUGAGCUGAGUUAACCAAGUCUCAAUUCUAAACCUGUUGGGAUCAGUUUCAAGGAUCCUUUUAGCAGAGUGGAUUUUGUACAAACUUUCAAAGCAGAAAUGAAGGUUUAUGGAGAAGAAGUGCAUUUCUGAAAUUGAGCUGUUUGAAUGAAUAAAUGAAUUGAAGAUGUGCAUUGCUCUGGGGGACUGAGUACUCUUCUAAAAAUUUGCUAGUCUUUUUGUUAACAAAAAGCAAGGUUCACACUAUGAACAUUGGUAGCGUUUGGUGUCAUGAAAGAAGCUUUGUCAAAUUGAAGCUCUUAUUCAAUUAUUGGAUCAUCUGAAUAGACAAGUUCUUGGUGAUUUUUAGCUUUGUUUGGCCUCUGGUUAUUAUGCUGAUUUUGUUGAAUGUCUUCACAGUAAGAUGGGAGUCUGAUUAUUUCAAUUAGGUAUGAUCCCUUUUAUGUUAUGACUUGAGGAAUUUAAUGAUGAUAUGUCAAUACAAUAAAGCUAAAUCCACUAAUGAUGGAGGAAUCAGAUGAAGUAAUCACUUGUAGAAAAUUAAUUUUCUUCUGGCCGUUUGGGAGUUCUCUCGAGCUGUUGAAUCUCAAUUGGAGAGACAGUGAGAUAAACCUUGAAAUUUUUUUUUUCAGGUAGCAUUUUGUUGCUGUAGCAUUAAAUCUGUAUUUUGCUCUACUAUGUACAAUUGUUGUUGAAGUAGUUGCUCAAAUUCUUUUGAUCAGUGUGAACUGCUGUUGUUUUGUACAUCGCAUGAAAAGAAAAUGGAUAUUCUGGCCCUAAGCUGUCUGGCUGGGCAGCAAAAAUAUUGCUUUUCUAUUAAUAAAGUGUUAUAUUUUUUAACCCAUGCUAGAUGAUGGUUGAAUAUUUAUGCAGAAUUGUUUCAAAUAGAAUUGAAUGGCAAAAAAAGGAUUCAUAGUUGAUGGUUGCUAGUUACACUUUUCACUUUUUACAAGUUUGCCUUCUUUCAUUUACUAUUUCAUGGGUCCACAAUUAGAAAUGUGUAUUGCUUUAUAGCUAGAAGCCACUUGAAGUCUUGAAGAAUGGGUUCUCUUUUUGGAGAAAAAAAGGAGAGAGAAUGUUGAAAGUAAUCACUUCCACCGAAAAUAGCACUUUCUAUUCUUUUUAAAUAUCAACUACUUAAACAGCACUCUCUAGUUUAGUUUGCUCUGUAUUUCAGGUUCAAUAAUUUCGCAACUCUUCCAACGGUUCACAAAUGGUGUCUGCCUCAAAUGCAUUUAUGUCCUUGUACAUUCCCAUCUUCCUAAUCCUCCCUGUAAUUUUCUCCAUCUCUACUGCUGUCCAUACUAUCCCACUAAAUGGUACCUGUCUUGAUACUUGCGGCACAAUACCUGUGAAGUUCCCUUUUGGCACUGGAUUUGGAUGUGGACACCCUGACUUUGCUAGAUACGUGAGAUGCAACUCAGGCACUCUGGAAUUUUCUACGGGCACUGGCAUUUACACCAUCUCCUCAAUUGAUUACCCAAGCAACACUUUGAUUGUCAGAGACCCUCUCAUGUCAACUUGCAGUUCAAUGCAGGACUCAGGAAGCUUUAGCUUGGAUCGGGCUAGUCCAUUCACUUUAACAGGAGAUAAUAUCUUUGUUUUGCUAGGAUGCUCUACCACUUCUCCUGUAUUUGACCCAAAAGAAGAUUUGUGCGACACAGGGUCAGGUUCUCGUGUUUGUAGAGGAUUAUAUUCUUGUAAGGGAGUCUCAGGAAUUGGGUUGCCACAGAAUGCACCGAUAUCUACAUGCUGUGUUUAUGAGUCACCUAUUCAACUUGCAGGCUACACAUUGGAUCUUCCCAAACUCCAAUGCUCUUCAUAUACAUCAGUAUACAGUUUUGGGGGCAAUGAGGGAGAUCCGAUGAAAUGGAAUUUUGGGAUAUCUCUACAAUAUAAUGGUUCAUAUUAUAGUAAUAUCUGCAAGGAUUGUGAAUCUAGUGGGGGCUUGUGUGGCUUUGCAGGUUUUGAUCGGUCAUUUGCCUGCAUAUGCCGGAAUGGGAAGAAUACAACCACCAGUUGCUUUGCUCAAGGUUAGUUCACUGUUCACGCCAUUUCUUUUUUUGUUCAAUCAUUAAACUGGUCCAGCAGGGCUUGUGGGCUGUUCUUCAUUUAUUUUUUUCUCAGCUUGAAUUUGCGUAUCUGAAUUAUGGCCUUGAUUGAAUAGGGCUUGCCUGGAGCGGGACAUGGGGAUCAAAAGUUCAAACCAAGUUCAGUCUUGCAGGUGGGAUGCCUUAACUUUUGUCAAACUCUACUUUUUAUGCUGAUUACUUUUUGCAACAAAAGUCUUCUCAUACUUGAGAUUUUUGUCAUUGGCUACUGUAGUGCUUUCCAAUGCCCUCUUUCCUUUUCCCUCAAUUAUAUCAGGGACACACACUAUAGCGCCUAGCCUGAGGGUGUUAAACUGGUCAAAGAAAAAAUAAUUAAAGAAAAACAAAAAAAAAAUCUUUAACAGUUGUAUGGAAUCCUGUUGUGUUGGUGGUACACGUAUAUGGGUGUGUAUUGCCCUACUAGUGUGCUACUAAUAGCAAAUCUAUUAGGAAAUAAUAAAAAAAAUAAAUUGAGUACUGAUUUCCAGAUGAUGACAGAUAAUUCCAUAGGCCUCCUUUGAUGACAAAACCUAAGUUGUGGAGCCUAUAGCUAUUUCUCUAAUUCAUAAUUUAUAAUGUCUUGAAAUAUUGCAUAGAAUUUUCCUUGUCAAAAAUCAAUCUUUGAAUAAGUUUUGACUCAGUUGCAAAAACAUGCCAUUCGCAUGGAUAAAUCGUUCUUCCACCAUGUUAUUGCAUCUUUAAACAGUUGAACAAAUCAUAUAUUCAGAAGUCUUCUGACAAAAUUUGCAUGCAUGAAGUCUUGCGUUAAUAAGCAGUUUUCUUAACCGUUCUUUUUGUUUUAGUAAAAUUAUUAUUUAUUUUUUUUUAUUUUAAAAAUUAUAUUAAUUAAUUCUCAUAUUUUAUUUUAAUUUACUUUUUAAUUCCUUUGAUUAUUUUAAAAGUUAAUUUAAACUUCAUUCAAUCUCUAUAAUUUAAAAAACACAAUCAUAUAGUUCUUAUAACGAUAACUUCUCUCGUUUGAAUAUAUUGAUUGACAUAAAACUUAAUUUAAAUUGAAUCAAGAGACUAAAAAAUAGAUAAAAUAAAAUAUAUAAGCUAACUAAUAUAUUUUUAAAAUAGAAAAAUCAAAUAUUUAGUUUCAUUAAAAUAGAAGAUUAAAUAAUAAUUUUUCUUUUUUUUUACCCAACUUCUAUGCAUUGGUGUUUCUCUAACAUUUUUCCAAUCUUUCUUUGGUUUUGUAGGAAUUUGCCUUCUAUGGCUUGUGCUUUCCAUUUGAAGUAGGUAGAAUGCUUUCAAAAUUGUAUGGCACAAAAAAGUCAAACCAAAAGCUUCUCGCAUUUUGACUGAUUGCGGUGCUGUAAUUUCAAUUAAUUUCUACAUGAAAAUAUUCUUAAGCAGGUUCUUGAUUUAGCUUGGUUGAAUUUGUGUUCUAUCUUCAUGUUCUGUAUAAUAGCUGUAAACAUCUAAUGAUAUGCUGGGUAUGUCAUUUUCCCCUGUUUACAAAUUAGAAUUUUAUAAGAAUUUAAUUUAACUGAUUUAU
rnacentral:misc_RNA from 1 species